UACAGAGACCUCAAGCGUUAUCCGGAAUCACUGGGCGUAAAGCGUACCGAUAGGUGGUUUUAUAAGUUUUGCCUAAAAUCCCGAAGCUCAACUUCGGUCUUGGGUAAAAUACUGUAAAACUUGAGGGGCAAAUAGGAAGCUGGAACGAAUGGUGUAGUAGUGAAAUGCGUUGAUAUCGGGAGGAACACCAGUGGCGAAGGCGGCGACCUGGACGGACAUUGACGCUGAGACGCGAAAGCGUGGGGAGCAAACAGG
rnacentral:rRNA from 1 species